UACGAAGGGGGCUAGCGUUGCUCGGAAUCACUGGGCGUAAAGCGCACGUAGGCGGCUUUCUAAGUCAGGGGUGAAAUCCUGGAGCUCAACUCCAGAACUGCCUUUGAUACUGGAGAGCUUGAGUCCGGAAGAGGUGAGUGGAACUCCGAGUGUAGAGGUGAAAUUCGUAGAUAUUGGGAAGAACACCAGUGGCGAAGGCGGCUAACUGGUCCAGCACUGACGCUGAGGUGCGAAAGCGUGGGGAGCAAACAGG
rnacentral:rRNA from 1 species